rnacentral:rRNA from 1 species
GACGUCCACUUACUUGGAGUCCGACUCUCACUUUCUAACCCUGUGCACUUGUUUGGGAUAGUAACUCUCGCAAGAGAGCGAACUCCUAUUCACUUAUAAACACAAAGUCUAUGAAUGUAUUAAAUUUUAUAACAAAAUAAAACUUUCAACAACGGAUCUCUUGGCUCUCGCAUCGAUGAAGAACGCAGCGAAAUGCGAUAAGUAAUGUGAAUUGCAGAAUUCAGUGAAUCAUCGAAUCUUUGAACGCACCUUGCGCUCCAUGGUAUUCCGUGGAGCAUGCCUGUUUGAGUGUCAUGAAUACUUCAACCCUCCUCUUUCUUAAUGAUUGAAGAGGUGUUUGGUUUCUGAGCGCUGCUGGCCUUUACGGUCUAGCUCGUUCGUAAUGCAUUAGCAUCCGCAAUCGAACUUCGGAUUGACUUGGCGUAAUAGACUAUUCGCUGAGGAAUUCUAGUCUUCGGAUUAGAGCCGGGUUGGGUUAAAGGAAGCUUCUAAUCAGAAUGUCUACAUUUUAAGAUUAGAUCUCAAAUCAGGUAGGACUACCCGCUGAACUUAAGCAUAU